rnacentral:rRNA from 1 species
GGAUGCGAUCAUACCAGCACUAAAGCACCGUAUCCCAUCAGAACUUCGUAGUUAAGCGUGCUUGGGCGAGAGUAGUAUUAGGAUGGGUGACCUCCUGGGAAGUCCUCGUGUUGCAUUCC